UUAAAAUGUUUCACAUAAAACUUCUGAAAAAUAUCAGCUAAAUGUUUUCUUUAAAAUAUUUUGACAUACACAUUAUUUAUUUAAUAGUCUUACUGAUAUUUUAUUCAACAUUUUACGGAUAUAAAAAUAACAUUUUAUUUAAACUUUAUUCAAUACCCCACAAACAAUUUUGUGGAAUUAGCUCGUUUUUUUCAGGAUAAGAUAUAGUACUACAUUUCAUCAGUAUCAUGACAAGCAAGAUACUAUACCGUUGAAAUCCUUGAUAUCUUGAAGUCCGAUUUUAUUCCUUCUUAUAUUAAAAUUCAAAAGAGUCAACAUUAAAUUAAGCAAUAAUGUAUUAAUAAACAAUCACCUUUCUUUAAUGUUUAUUCAUUUCGUUCGUGUAUAUUUUAGAAAUUAAGAAAUGAAAACUGUAACUGUACUAAGUUCCAUUUUUCAUAUCGUUUAUAUGCAUUACGGAAAACCGACCUUUUCCGGAAUCGACUUUUGUUUUAUCACCGGAAAUGAUAUUGAAAUUUGAAUUUUGAAACGAAGACAGGAUAUCAACAAAGAGAGCCAAGAAAAUUGUUUGUUACGCGAUAUAUACUCACUUGGUAAGAAUGAUUAAUCUCUUAAGAUGAAACUUGUGCAAUCAUUUUGUGUGUUCAAUCAUAAUCGGAACCAAUACAUCUGUUUCUAGAGGUGCGGAUCAAGGUUUUGAAAAAAGAGGGGCCCCUGCCCAAGGCAAGCAAACGUUUGGAGUGAUACUUGUAAAUAGUCUAUGCAUUUAUCUUAUAUGUAGCUCCAUAAGGGGGUCGGGGCCCUAAAUCCGCCACUGUUCUAGCAUCUACGUACACCAAUUAUGAAUUUGUUCAUUGAUAUAAAAAAAAGGAUAUGUGGCUUGUGUGUUUGAUUGCCAAUACACCUUAUCGCUAUUUGUCCGCCAUUACUGGCCAUGGACACCACAAAAGUUCCCGUAAAAUGUUGACGUCAUAAUAGAAAAUAUUUGACACCACAAUGGAAAUCAUACACCUUAUCCCUAUUUGUCCGCCAUUACUGGACAUCACACAACUGUCACAAGUUCCCGUAAAAUUUUGACGUCAUAAUAAAAAAUAUCUGACGCCACAAUGGAAAAGUGAUUGUUGUUUGACGUCAAAAGUUCAAGCAGGACAGAUUAUCGGGUCAAGCGGAAAUAGCGAUAAGGUGUAUUAUUGUAUGACGUAUGCUGACGUAUAAAGUUCAAGCGGGAUAGAUUUCCGAAUACUGAAAUAGCGAUAAGGUGUAUGAGACAGCUAUCCACCAGAAUUCAAAUGACUUGGAUAAAAGAAAUUAUAGGUCACUGUACGGCUUUCAACACUGAGAAAACCCAUACCAUAUAGUCCACUUUAAAAGGCCUUGACAAACAAAUGUUAAAUUUUUCUCAACACAAUUGAAACAAAACAACUAACCGCCUACAUUAUAUACACAUUAUGAAAAACAAAUAUGACAGACUUAAACCAACAACAACUACUGCAAUAACAGACCUGCCUACCUUCAUGCUUUAUGGGGGAUUUCCCCCAUGAGAGGUGUUGACCUGAAUUUUGAAAUUCGUUAUUAUACAAAUUUAACACCUGAAAACAGGCAUUCAAAUGAUUUAAAAGGGGAUUCAAGCACAUGCAUACUCAUUCAAACAAUAUAGUAGUAGAUUAGAAAGUCUUAUGACAAUAUAAGAGGAGCAUUUAGUCAUCUCGCUCUUGAAAUCCCCCAUGGAGAUUUUGAAAACUUGGCAGGUAUGCAAUAAGCAUGACUCAAUACCUUGUUCCAAGGCACACAAACAAGUUACAAUAACACUAAUAUAAGCACCAUGUGAAUAUGGAGAUUUUUUUUUCUAGUAAAAUCAGUGUAUGUAUAUAUUUGCAAAACAGUAAAUUAAAUUUCCCUUAACAGCUUAAUGAACAUUACAAAGACUGUAAGACUUCAGUACAAGCAAGAUGAAAUAAACUGUUGCUUAAAGUUAUAUUUAUUGAUUCAUACACACAAUGUACAUACAAUGUAUCUUUUAUUUUUUAACAGGAGCUAAAAGAAAAGCCACAAAGGACAAGUUCAAUAUGCAGAUUUACAAUUUGGAAGUGGCACAGGUUCUUUGGAAUGUCUACAACCUUUCAGGAGAAAUUUUUUUUUGAAACGCAUGGCACAACAAGAAAAAGAUAUAAAACACUACAAGACAUUCCAAGUGAUUUUGAAUAAGACAAUUAAUUGACUUUUUCAAUGUAUUCUUAAAUAAAUCAAAUAGUUGAUGUAAAA